GUGUCAGCCGCCGCGGUAAUACGAAUCGUCCAAACGUUGUUCGGAUUCACUGGGUUUAAAGGGCGCGUAGGCGGUGCGUUAAGUCGGCGGUGAAAUACUUCGGCUCAACCGGAGAAUUGCCGCUGAAACUAGCGUGCUCGAGGAAGGUAGAGGUGCGUGGAACUUCCGGUGGAGCGGUGAAAUGCGUUGAUAUCGGAAGGAACACCUGUGGCGAAAGCGAUGCACUGGACCUUUUCUGACGCUGAGGCGCGAAAGCCAGGGGAGCGAACGGGAUUAGAAACCCCGGUAGUCC
rnacentral:rRNA from 1 species